rnacentral:piRNA from 1 species
UAUAGUGUCCUAAAAUAUUAGUCUGUCCUC